UACGUAGGGUGCGAGCGUUGUCCGGAAUUAUUGGGCGUAAAGAGCUCGUAGGCGGUGUGUCGCGUCGGCCGUGAAAACCUGCAGCUUAACUGUGGGCUUGCGGUCGAUACGGGCAUCACUGGAGUUCGGCAGGGGAGACUGGAAUUCCUGGUGUAGCGGUGAAAUGCGCAGAUAAUCAGGAGGAACACCGGUGGCGAAGGCGGGUCUCUGGGCCAAUGACUGACGCUGAGGAGCGAAAGCGUGGGGAGCGAACAGG
rnacentral:rRNA from 1 species